AACGAACGCUGGCGGCAUGCCUAACACAUGCAAGUCGAACGAGACCUUCGGGUCUAGUGGCGCACGGGUGCGUCACACGUGGGAAUCUUCCCUUUGCUUCGGAAUAACAGUUAGAAAUGACUGCUAAUACCGGAUGAUGUCGAAAGACCAAAGAUUUAUCGGCAAAGGAUGAGCCCGCGUAGGAUUAGGUAGUUGGUAGGGUAAAGGCCUACCAAGCCAACGAUCCAUAGCUGGUCGGAGAGGGUGAUCAGCCACACUGGGACGGAGAGACGGCCCAGACUCCAACGGGAGGGAGAGGUAGGGAAACUUCAGCGAUGGGCGAAAGCCGGGAGGAGCAACGCCGCGUGAGGGAUGAAGGUCUUCGGAUCGUAAAACUCUGUUAGUAGGGAAGAAGAUAUGUGUAAGUAACUGUGCACAUCUUGACGGUACCUAAUCAGAGAGACAAGGCUAAAUACGUG
rnacentral:rRNA from 1 species